UACGUAGGAUGCAAGCGUUGUUCGGAUUACUGGGCGUAAAGAGUACGUAGGCGGUUUGGUAAGUCUGAUAUUAAAGACUGGGGCUCAACUCCAGGAGUGUAUCGGAAACUGUCAGACUAGAGGACAAUAGAGGAAGUCGGAAUUCUCAGUGUAGCGGUGAAAUGCGUAGAUAUUGGGAAGAACACCAGUGGCGAAAGCGGCGUGCUGGAUCCCUACUGACGCUGAGGCACGAAAGCCGGGGGAGCAAAACGGG
rnacentral:rRNA from 1 species